AUUAAUUCGAUGCAACGCGAAAAACCUUACCUACCCUUGACAUGCCACUAAUCGAAGCAGAGAUGCAUUAGGUGCUCGAAAGAGAAAGUGGACACAGGUGCUGCAUGGCUGUCGUCAGCUCGUGUCGUGAGAUGUUGGGUUAAGUCCCGCAACGAGCGCAACCCUUGUCUCUAGUUGNUACGAAAGGGCACUCUAGAGAGACUNCCGGUGACAAACCGGAGGAAGGUGGGGAUGACGUCAAGUCCUCAUGGCCCUUAUGGGUAGGGCUUCACACGUCCUACAAUGUUGCAUACAGAGGGUUGCCAAGCCGCGAGGUGGAGCUAAUCCCAGAAAAUGCAUCGUAGUCCGGAUCGUAGUCUGCAACUCGACUACGUGAAGCUGGAAUCGCUAGUAAUCGCGGA
rnacentral:rRNA from 1 species